rnacentral:rRNA from 1 species
AGCAGCCGCGGUAAUUCCAGCUCCAAUAGCGUAUAUUAAAGUUGUUGCAGUUAAAAAGCUCGUAGUUGAAUUUCGAGAUCAGUACGCUGGUCGUGCCUUUGGUAUGCACUGGUGUCACUGGUUUCUCCCUUCUGAAGAACUGUCAUGCCAUUCAGUUGGUGUGGCGGGGAAUCAGGACUGUUACUUUAGAAAAAAUUAGAGUGUUUAAAGCAGGCUCGCGCUUGAAUACAUUAGCAUGGAAUAAUGAAAUAGGACGUUUGACCCUAUUUUGUUGGUUUCUAGGAUCGACGUAAUGAUUAAUAGGGAUAGUUGGGGGCAUUAGUAUUCAAUUGUCAGAGGUGAAAUUCUUGGGUUUAUUGAAGACUAACUACUGCGAAAGCAUUUGCCAAGGAUGUUUUCAUUAAUCAAGAACGAAAGUUAGGGGAUCGAAGACGAUCAGAUACCGUCGUAGUCUUAACCAUAAACUAUGCCGACUAGGGAUCGGAUGAUGUUAAUUUUUAAUGACUCAUUC